GUGGGGAAUAUUGGACAAUGGGCGAAAGCCUGAUCCAGCCAUGCCGCGUGUGUGAAGAAGGUCUUCGGAUUGUAAAGCACUUUAAGCGAGGAGGAAGGUUCGUCACCUAAUACGUGACGGAAUUGACGUUACUCGCAGAAUAAGCACCGGCUAACUCUGUGCCAGCAGCCGCGGUAAUACAGAGGGUGCAAGCGUUAAUCGGAAUUACUGGGCGUAAAGCGCGCGUAGGUGGUUUUGUAAGUUGGAGGUGAAAUCCCCGGGCUCAACCUGGGAACUACAUCCUAAACUGCAUGACUAAAGUACGGUAGCGGGUAGUGGAAUUUCCUGUGUAGCGGUGAAAUGCGUAGAUAUAGGAAGGAACACCAGUGGCGAAGGCGACUACCUGGACUGAUACUGACACUGAGGUGCGAAAGCGUGGGGAGCAAACAGGAUUAGAUACCCGUGUAGUCC
rnacentral:rRNA from 1 species